rnacentral:lncRNA from 1 species
UUUUUCCAAGGGCCAAAGGCAUCCUUGACUUAACCUGUGCUUUUUUUUUUUUUCCCCAUAAUAUGCUAUGUUUAGUCAUAGCCAGCAUUACCCUUCCAUCUAAACCACGAAGCAUGGCCAAAGAGAUGAUAGAAAUAAAAGUGAUUCAUUAAUGGGAAGCAAAGAGGAAAGCAAGUUCAACCUGUCAUCCCUCCCAUUUUUGUGGGAAAAUAUGGAAAUAAAGUGUGGUCAUAUUGUACUUCUCUAUUUAAGUAUUGGAAUUUAAGUUAAACUUGAAUUAAAAAUCACAUUUUUCUGUUCCCCACUUCACUCUUUGUAUCUUAUCAAUGGUGAAUGUUGACCACUGUCAGCCCCUAUUACUGUAAUACAUAUAAUAUAUGCUAUCUUUUUUUUUAAUUUUUUAUUCAUUUAUGAUAGUCACAGAGAGAGAGCGAGAGCGAGAGAGAGAGAGAGGCAGAGAGAGAAGCAGGCUCCAUGCACCGGGAGCCUGAUGUGGGAUUCGAUCCCGGAUCUCCAGGAUCGCGCCCUGGGCCAAAGGCAGGCGCCAAACCGCUGAGCCACCCAGGGAUCCCAAUAUACGCUAUCUUAAUAUACACUAUCUAGAUUGUUAUAUGGUCAUCUCUCUCCUACUUCCUGAAAUAUAUUUGAACAAAAGGAGGGGGAAAAAUGACAGAUGUAUCAAUGUCCUGAUAGGAUGGUAAUUGAGGAUAAUUUAUUUAAAAGCUCUAUUUACAUAGUAGUCAGAAAAAUUAAUGGAAACCAGCAAAAGAUAAUGAACUCACUUGGGGAAAGAACAAGAAGGAGAGAUCAGUUGGGGUGUUUUGGGUUUUUUUUUUUUUAACUAAUUGAAUAUCUGUGAGAGAUAAUACAUGUUAAAAGAUUCAUUCCUACAAAAGAUAGCAAUCUAAUCUUAAAGGUUCAUAGCUAUGUCCUCCUUUGUGUUCCCACUGAACUAUAGUCUCGGCUCUAUUACUUAUGACAUUAUCUAAGUGUCCCACUACUAAGCAAGUUCAUCCAGAAUAAUUAUCAGGCAUUAAUUAUAAGUGUGCUCCUUUCACCAACUCAGGUAGAAAAGAGAAUAAAAUUUUUAAAAAUCUUAGAAGUAAAUACUCACUUUGUAAGUUUAACAAACAGUAAGGAGAAGUAAGAAGCAGAGAAAGGAACUAAUAUGUAUUAAGUAUUUUAACUAGGCAUCUAUGCUAAAUGUUUAUUAAAUUUCCUUUCUAUUGUUUGUUUACAAUUAUGAUUUUUCACUCUAAAACUAUUAGAUGAUCCCUCCGAAUUCUGAGCAGUGUCAUGGUGAGCUAUUACAUGCCACACGCUACAGUAUAACAACAUAUAUUUUUACUAAGAUUACAUUGCCAUUUUAAAAUGGACAAUGGAACCAUUUCCUCCACAGGGCAAUGGACUUCCUCCCUUCUUUAAGAUAAGGAUUGGCACUGGGCAUGCCCUUCCUGAACCUUAGAACCCAACUCUCUUUUUUCAGUAAGUCUGCAAAGAAAUUUAUUAUUAAUUGAUAUGGGAGUUGAGAGAUUCAGUCCCUUUCUAUUUAUCAUUAAAACUCUAUUAAAACUCUUGUUCCAAGGGUUUUGCUCCCAUCUUGCACGCCCUGGCAAAAUGUUUUGUACACAGAGCUGUCAUGUUGUUCUAGUAAUGCAUUUACAUUACAGGAAACUGGCAACAUUAAGUACUUACAGGGUAAGGAGACCAGAGAAAGGUUGCCAAAAUAUUUGGAGUUCAGUCAAAAGCCCAAGGGAUAGUACAAUAGGUGAUGUUUUUCUAACUCUUUCUGUCUGCAGAAGAUCAGAAGAGACUAUUUGAUUUUUUUCAAAGUAACAUUUUUAAUAAUGCUGCUUGAAAAAUCAGCCUACUUCUGCUGUAAGUUACAGGAAGAAAUAAAUUCCAGUUGACUCCAACAAGAAGUUGUGACUGGGUAUGCUACAAUGUAUUUCUAUCUUCAAAGAGAGCUGUAAGAGUAAAAAAUGCUUUGCCCGAAUUUAGUAAAACCUACUUCAAUGGUUAGGGAUUUAUGUUCUGAGAGUUUUCAAAGGAAAUGCAUUCAUUUUAGAGCAGUUGCUUGAAAUGACUAAUUUUCGGUUGCUUUUCCUAAUUUCAUUCUCAUUUGAUUUAUCUGAGAGUUCAGGAGAAAUGAACUAUUCCACGUCAAUUAAUUUUCCAGAUAAUUAUAGCAGAACUCUUUAUUUUACUUUAAAGAUUUCAUUUAUUUAUUUGAGAGACAGAAAGAGAGAGCACAAGCAAAGGGUAGGGGGUUUAGAGGGAGAGCGACAAGCAGACUUGUCCGUUUAGUGGAGAGAAUGGUGUGAGGGCUCGAUCCCAGGACCCUGAGAUCAUGACCUGAGCCAAGGUCAGAUGUUAAAUUGACUGAGCCACUCCAGUACCCCACAGAACGAUUUAUUUUAGUCACACUGGGAAAAAUUUUAAACUUUAUUUAAAAAUUGUUAAUGUGGAUCAAGUUUAUCAUUUUAACCUGACACCUAUUGGCUCUGCUGUCAUACAGGGCAGUGAUGUCUUGUCUUCUUCCCUGUAUUCCUUUCUCAGUUGCAAUACAUGGUACAUCCAGCUACUCAGUCACAGCUCAGUGCCUGCUUUUGCACUGGGGUAGCAUGGCUAAACAUGAUCUCUCCCUUCAGUGAGUUUAUAUAUUUAGAAGGCAUUCAACACAUAUGUAUUAAAUUAGUGAAUAUUAAUUAAUAACACAAAUUCCUCUGGGUUAUUGUCUCUUCUUAGAGACAUAAGAAGAAUAUCCAUAUUGCUACUUCCCAGCAAUCCUUCUGUUAUUUUGGAGUAUCCCUAGGGGAGUCUUCCAUGUACUUGGAAAUAGGUCUGCUUAUGUUCUCUUUUCUAAUUGUUACUGAUGUCAGACCAGUUCUAAGCACUGUUCUAAUAUAUGUUAAUUCACCUAUGUUGUCCUCAUGACAAGAGACCAAGUACAAGAGCUGCACAAUAAAACGUGGAAGAAAAAACUUUCCUUCAUCUUGAUUUCUACUUGGUUCAUUGAUCCUAGAAACACCAAUGUCUCAGGCAAUUGCUCAUGAAAACAGGGGAUUUGGGUUCUGCUUUUAAACCCGUCCCUCCACAAGUGCUGAUGAACCAGCUAGCAGGCCAGGAGUUUGGGGAGAGUUGCCAUGUCAUUCUCUUGCAUUGUCCACCUCUCCUUUAUCCCCACAUACAUUCACUCUGAUUGUUCUGAUUUUUCUGUCAAUCAACUUGUGCAUAGAUAUUGAUGGGGUCCCACCAGCCAAAAAGAGAACUCCCAUUUGUCUUGAACUAGUACAACUGUUAAACCAUUUUGAGAAUUAAGGGCUAUUUCAAAAUAUACAUUCAUAUCACUUUUCAUUAACUGCUUUAAUUAACCUUGGGAUGGGAAGGCAGGUAACUAAGCAACCAAGCAAUUGGUUUCCUGGGGCUGAUGUAACAUUAACACAAACUAGGGGACUGAAGACAAUAGAAAUUUAUUUUCUCUCAGGUCAGGAGGCCAGAAGUUCGAAUCAAAGUGUCAGCAAUGUUGGUUUCUUGUUGGGAGUUUAGAGGAGAAUCUCAUGCUUCUCUUGUAGCUGCUGGUGAUUGCUGGAUUCUUAGCACUCAAAUAUCUGCCUCCAUCAGGCGAUGGUCUUUCUUUGUCCGUAUCCUUGGGUCCAAACUUCUCUCUUCUUAUAAAGACACCAAUCAUAUGGAGUAGGGCCCACCUUAAUCCUAUAUGAUCUCAUCUUAACUUGAUUACAUCUGCAAAGAUCCUAUUUCCAAAUAAGGCCAUCUUCAUAGAUUUUUGGGUGGACAUGAAUUUUGCGAAGAUAUUAUUUAAUCCAGUAUGGAAAUGUUGUUUGUUAAAUAGGAAUAAAAUGCUAUCUGCUUGAUAAUGGCUAGAGACAAUCCUUUCCACGUCAAGAAGGUUAUUUUCCUUUACUUCUGCAUGGAAGCUCUGUUGAGGUUGAAAGAAGAUUAAACUUCAGAAAAGUCAAGUGUUAUUAUAAAUUAGAUGCCCUUCACCUUGCUAGGGCAAGUUUGGUGUCUGUCUAGUCUUAUCUAGUCACAGUUUAUGAGGCUCACUGAUUUUGUAACUGACAUUUGAAUAAAGAUUAUCUGCUUGGCACACAGAAUCUAAAAGAUACCAACUCCUACUGCCUUCUUUCUGUUGUGUUUAAUGUUGUGCCAUGUAAUCUUCCAUUUGAGGGUUGAGUGUUUUUUUCUUUUUAUUUCUAACCUUUGAAAUACCCUUUUUAAAAAAUUAAAACUAGGAAAACUAUUAAGCAAAGAAUGGAUAUUAAAAUUAUUAAUUUUGUUAUAUGAAGUAUAGACUUUUAUAGAAUACAUUACUUUAAGAAUGAAUACUUAUAUUAGAUAUAUUAAGCAUAUAAAUGGAAUUUAACUUUAUCUUUGAAUCAGAUACAAUGGGCACAGUAGAUCUAGCACAGAUAUAGAAGCUAGAAUGAUAAUAUUACAUUUCUAUUUCCACAGCAAACCCAUGGAAUUAUCCUGAUUAAGCACAUAAUUUGUUUAAUCUAUAUUUUUAUUUGCAUCUUAUGACUCUAUUAUUCAGUACCUAAGAUGUACCUAAAUUUACCACUUAGUGUCAAAUUAACAUCUGUCAUAAACUACCCAAGAAAACUAGGUGUAUGAAACAGAGUUAUCCUGAUAGCUGAAUGAGGGAGUAUUUGGCUUAACCAAAUUUAAUUAAUAUAAAUGCCACACAAUGUUUGAUUUGCAAGGAAAUAAUACAAUGAGAUACAGAGCACAAUACAGCCCAAAUGUGGGGGAAGAGCUUCUUCCAGCUAUAAGUGUAACCAUCACUUAAUGCUCCUGUAUAUCAUUCAGAGAUUGAGGAUGCAGGCAAAGGGGAACCCUCUUACACUGUUGGAGGGAAUGCAAACUGGUAUAGCCCCUUUGGAAAACAGUAUGGAGCUUCCUUAAAAAGUUAAAAAUAGAACUACUCUAUGAUCCAGCAAUUUCACUACUAGGUAUUUGCCCAAAGGAUACUAAUAUAAAGAGAUACAAUGCACCCCUAUAUUUAUAGCAACUUUAUCAACAAUAGCGAAAUUAUGGAAAGAACCCAAAAUGUCCAUUGACUGAUGAAUGGGUAAAGAAGAAGUAGUGUAUAUAUACAAUGGAAUAUUAGCCAUAACAAAGAAUGAAAUCUUGCCAUUUGCAAUGAUGUGGAUGGAGCUAGAGAGUAUUAUGCUAAGUGAAGUAAGUCAGUCAGAGAAAGACAAAUACCAUAUGGUUUCACUCAUAUGUGAAAUUUAAGAAACAAAACAUAUCACCAUAGGGAAAAAAGAAAGAGAGGCAAACCAGAAACAGUCUCUUAACUAUAGAGAACAAAUCGAGGAUUAUUGGAGGGGAGGCCAGUGGGGGGGAAAGGUUAAGCUGGUGAUGGGGAUUAAUGAGGACACUUGUGAUGAGCACUAGGUAUUGUAUGUAAGUAAUGAAUCACUAAAUUCUACACCUGAGACUAAUAUUAUACUUUAUGUUAACUAACUGAAAUUGAAAUAAAAAGUUGAAAAAAACAAUUAUUCGGAGAGCUGGUUGGUUAUAGUUUGCAUUAUGAGCUUAUUGUUAUUCUGUAAAAAUAUUAAUAAUUAAUACUAUAUAGUACUUAACCACAUGCUAGUCAAUAAUUAUGCAUUUUACAAAUAUUAGCUCAUUUAAUCUGUUCAAUAAUUUUAUUAAUGUAAGUACAAUAAUUAUCUCUAUUUUAGAGAUGAGAAAACUAGGCACAGAUGUACUAAGUGACUUGUCUGAAGUCACGAGCUGAGAAGUGGCAAAGUCAGGAUUUGAAGCCAUGUAGGCUGGUUCUGGAAGUCAUGCUCCCACUCCUGUUCUACACUGCCGUGUUGAGGGAUGGGGGUGGGGUCUCCGCAUAUUUGAAAUCACACUCUAUAGAAUAUGAACGAACAGUGUGUUCUGUUGAUCUAGUUGGCAGUUGAAGACUAGUUGGCAGUCACUAGCAUAUUGACAAGACAGUGUGAAGAUUAUUUAGGGAGUAAUGAAAUAACAUAGCUGGAAUUCAUAUUUUACCCACUUAGUCACCCAGUCUUUAUGAAGUAGUUUCUAGGUCCUAGGCACACUCUUAUGUAUCACUGAUAAAAUGGUAAGUGAAAUACAGCUCCUGCUCAUGGUAGAGGGGCACAAGCAUGUAAUAACUACAACACAGACCAUCUGUUAGGGCUCAAAAGCACAGCAUUGUCAGAGGAAAUCAUCUUGCCAUGAUGCCUCUGAAUUGGUCACAACUUGAUAUAAAUAAUCAAACUCCUUAGAAGCCAAGCAAUAUAUGUUAAUGCAGUUCCUGGACUUUGUUGCAGGACAUUCUGAAUGCAAACUCAUUCAUUUAAAUAAUUGUUCUGAAAAACCUGCCAGCUCAUCUGAGAUCUAGAGACGUGUAUGAUAUGACUUAGAGUCUGAGAAAUGCUUGCUUGCAUUUAUGUACCUUGCCUCAGCAUAUCUGAUGCAGGCAACUCAUACUUUGUUGAUCAAUGGCAGGAGUUUAGCAUUUCCUCAGAAGCCAUGCCUUUACAAUUUGGGACAAGAGGGUGGCUCAACGGUUGAGCAUCUGCCUUCGGCUCAGGAUGUAAUCCCGGGGUUCAGGGAUUGAGUCCCAUAUCGGGCUCCUGCAUGGAGCCUGCUUCUCCUCCCUCUGCCUAUUUCUCUGCCUCUCUCUGUGUGUCUCAUGAAUAAAUAAAGUCUUUAAAAAAUAUAUAAAAUUUGGGACAAGAAUUAAUGCAGGAUUACCAAUCAGGGAUUUUUUUUUGCCUCAAUGAUUUAUUAUUAACCAGGGCUUAUCAGGAGUAGGUCAAUGCAUUAAACACUUUGUAUGCAUCAUCUCAUUUAAUCUUCAUAGCUUCCCAAUGAGCUAAGUAUUCAUAAUUAUCUGUAUUUUACAAAGGAGAAACUGAGAUUUAAAGUUUCCCUGUGGAGCGGUUCAUAGGAAGUGGUAAAGUCAGGACUCAACUCUAGCUCUAUCAAAAUGUGAGUCUCAUACACGUCCUUAACUGCCAUGUUGUCCUGCCUCUGGUUCAUUCAAAGAGCACCACUGAAGAGUUUCACCACACUUGGCACCUAUAAAGUGGAGCCUUCAGAGUACAGUGUAGAGACAGGUGCUUCCACAGCUCUCAAUUAUAAACAAUAAAGCCUUCCAUAUCCAAUGGCUAUUCUCCCUUCCACUUGUGAUAUUUGAACCUUUGAACAGUGUUUAACAGUGCAGAUGAGUGUGCUUGCAUUAAUCCCAUCAGUCUAACAAAUGUCUU